GAGAGAACUGCUCUACCAGAUACAACCACAGUUCAGAGGAAAGGACAAGUGGCUGACUCACCUGGAUUUUGGCACCUCACUGUGAUCAGGUGUAAUAGCUGGCAUGGUCCCUUUCAUUCAUCCUCCUUCCAGCUGCUUUAUUAGCCAUUUUAACUGUCGUAGCACAGGACAAACAAGCCACCAGAGAGAAUGGUUGAAAGGCGCUGUGUCACCAUAGGCAAGUACCAGUUGGGACUCACCUCCCUCCACACACUGAUGAGACUGGAACCUGAUGCUUUUGG